GGUGUACUCCCUCCGUUCCAAAUUACUCGUCGCAGAAAUGGAUAUAUCUAGAACUAAAAUACAUCUAGAUACAUCCAUACCUGCGACAAGUAAUUCGGAACGGAGGGAGUAUAUG
rnacentral:pre_miRNA from 1 species